rnacentral:rRNA from 1 species
UCAGAACGAACGCUGGCGGCGUGCUUACACAUGCAAGUCGAACGCGAAAGUUCCUUCGGGAGACGAGUAGAGUGGCGCACGGGUGAGUAACGCGUAAGUAAUCUGCCCCUGUGUUCGGAAUAACCCACCGAAAGGUGUGCUAAUACCGGAUACGCUGGAAACAGGAAAGAUGGCCUCUUCAUGAAAGCUAUCGCACAGGGAGGAGCUUGCGUACCAUUAGCUGGUUGGUAGGGUAAAGGCCUACCAAGGCGACGAUGGUUAGCGGGUCUGAGAGGAUGAUCCGCCACACUGGAACUGAAACACGGACCAGACUCCUACGGGAGGCAGCAGUGAGGAAUAUUGCGCAAUGGGGGAAACCCUGACGCAGCGACGCCGCGUGGAUGAUGAAGGCCUUCGGGUCGUAAAAUCCUGUCAGAUGGGAAGAAAUGCCUGCAGGUUAACAGCCUGUGAGUUUGACGGUACCAUCAAAGGAAGCACCGGCUAACUCCGUGCCAGCAGCCGCGGUAAUACGGAGGGUGCAAGCGUUGUUCGGAGUUACUGGGCGUAAAGCGCGCGUAGGCGGUUUGUUAAGUCAGAUGUGAAAGCCCAUGGCUCAACCAUGGACGUGCAUUUGAUACUGGCAGGCUUGAGUACUGGAGGGGGUAGUGGAAUUCCCGGUGUAGAGGUGAAAUUCGUAGAUAUCGGGAGGAAUACCGGUGGCGAAGGCGACUACCUGGCCAGAUACUGACGCUGAUGUGCGAAAGCAUGGGGAGCAAACAGGAUUAGAUACCCUGGUAGUCCAUGCCGUAAACGAUGUGAACUAGGUGUUGGGAUGGUUAAUCGUCUCAUUGCCGCAGCUAACGCAUUAAGUUCACCGGCUGGGGAGUACGGUCGCAAGAUUUAAACUCCAAGGAAUUGACGGGGGCCCGACAAGCCGUGAGUAUGUGGUUUAAUCGACGCAACGCGCAGAACCUUACCUGGUCUUGACAUCCCGGGAAAUUCUCUGGAAACACGGAAGUGCCUCUUUGAAGAACCUGGUGACAGGUGCUGCAUGGCUGUCGUCAGCUCGUGUCGUGAGAUGUUGGGUUAAGUCCCGCAACGAGCGCAACCCCUAUCUUUAGUUGCCAUCAUUAAGUUGGGCACUCUAGAGAGACUGCCGGUGUCAAACCGGAGGAAGGUGGGGAUGACG